rnacentral:tRNA from 1 species
AAGAGAUUAGUUGAGUGGUUUAACAGCAUUUUUACACUAUGCAGACAGAGUUUCGAUUACUCUAUCUCUUA